CAUCAUGGACUUUUCUUUGCCACAGUACCAGUUAGGAGCUAUGGAUUCUGUGCUUACAACAAUUGCAUUUGCGUUUUUGUAUGACUUGAACAAGUUUUGUACAACAUCAAUAGCAAUGAGACUUGCACUGCAUCCCAUUCCUGAGAGGUUGAAGGUCUUGAUGUCCUCCCUCAUCUUGUAACGAUUUAUUAUACGAGAUGUUAGAGAGGGUGCAGGGGAGAACAUUGACACAUUGACAACCAGAAUGUCGAUUUGUGAUGGAGAAAUUGAAGUAGGCCUGGCAAAAAGCUUGUCAAGUGUGUCAAAUAUGAUACCAUCCAUCUCACAAAGCUCAUCUGCCCGGGUUGGAUUUCGGCCUUCAAUGAUGUUUCGUGGGCAAGAUGUUUCUUCACCAAUGCCAGAACUGACAAUAGUUUUCAAGAGAAACCUGAGUUCUUCCAAUCCCAAAUUCUUGUUCUGCAUGACGAUUUUUGCGCUGGAAUCACAGUUGAGCUUCAUGUCCUCUUUGGCCUUGUAGCACUCAUAAGCCAGCAUAUAGCAGCUCUGGUCUCUCCUUUGGAGAAGUAACUUGCAGAGGCAGAAGAAACCAAAGAAAAGAGUGAGAAGAGACAUUGUCAUGAAGAUCUCCAUGGCCCUACAGCUCUCUUUGUUUGUGGGUGUGAGAGAUGGAGAGAGAUAGAAUUGUGAAGUGUUAUAUGUGAGUUGCAUGCAAAACUUCAACAACUAUCUUAGUACUUAUCCUACACUGCACCCAUCUCUUUCUUAUAAAUCGAUGGUGAUGAACUAAUGUUGCUUGUGAUCACUAAUGGAAAGACCUCUACUUUUUACCUACAAGUUAGCAGGUAUUUAUUAAGAUUAAUUUUAUGGUUAGGCGGUAGGCACAACCAUGCAAUAAAACGACAAGCCAUGACUGAACGAACAGCCUAAAUGGUCAGAGUUUCAGUCAAGUUAUUGAGAGGGAGUUAUGCUUCAUAUCUACACUAGCCAAGUUGCCAUCUCUCCUCUUACAAAAACUUCAACGCUAAAAUUAAUAUCAAACAGUUCUAAAUUCUCUCUCUCUCUCUCUCUCUCUCUCUCUCUCCAUAUAUAUAUAUACAGAGAGCUUCCAUUGAGGGAUCCCUCAAAUAAGCUUAUUUGAGGGACACCCCUUGUAGGCCCCACUUCGGAUUGUAUUUCAUUAAUCCAAACCGUCUAUUUUGUAGAUACUCAUUCAAAGAUCAUCCCUACAAAAAAUCACUUGAAUCCGAUAUCAUUUGACCACUCAAUUAAGUUAUUGAAAUUUUAGCAUUUUCUUGAAGUACCGUGUUCAUUGAUUUUGUAAGACACAAUUGGAUGUCGAAACGGUUUCCGAUUUGUCUAAUUUUUUGUUAGGAUGAUCUAUGAAUGAAGACCUAAAAAAUAGAUGGUUUGGAUCAUUGGGAAAAAAAUUGUAGAGUACCCUAAAGGGCGUCCCUCAAAUAAUUUUAUUUAAGGGAUCCCUCAAUAGAAGGGGACUGUAUAUAUAUAUAUAUAUAUAUAAUCUUUUAAAUUUCUGUAAAAACAAGAAGACUUUUGAAUAUUUUUUGUUGCUGAAAUGUUUGGUUUUGGGGUUAUGUGGGAUUUCAUUAUUGCCCUGCUCAAGAAAAUGUAACUUUCCAAGGUGUGAAUUAUCUUUUAUCAUCUCAUUAUUUCUUCCAAGAGACAUGAAUUUGAAGUUGAAGUUACAGCACGAAACUAGCAAGUGGGCUGUGUAUGUACAUUAAGUCUUUGUCUGCCUGUUUACUUUUCGGUUUGUGUGUGCUUUAUCUUUGUGUAGUUUGUGUGUUAUAAUUGCGAAGUUUAUCAACAACAAGGUCUUGGAGUGUUUUCGCACAACAGAAAUAACUCUCCAAUAGAAGACAGUUGCAAUGAAGUCUCUCAUAUUUAUAAUAGCACAUUCAGUUGGAUUUCUUGGGAGUGGGUGCACAUUUUCAAGUGCAUUCAUUCCCAUAGAAAACGCUAUAUUUCUCUAGAUGGCAAAAUGAAAUAAGUCUAUAUAUGCCUUCUAGUUGCAUCAUGUUUGCAUUUACAGGUUCUAAUUCUAGGUUGCAGAACUCCAGAAUAUAUUUGAAAACUCAUGAGUUCCACUCUAAGAUAUAAAAUCAAUAGGCUAUGAUCAAAAUGGCAGACUGGUCUUCCACUAGACUAAUGCACCACACUGGUUAUUCAGAAACCAAACUGCGCUCAAGGCACUUGCAUUGCUUAUUUCAACCCAGAAUACAAAUUUAAACAAAUUCAUGUGUAACUAGGUUUCAAAUAAAUUGAAUUGCUUUAUUAUUUGAAUGUUGGACUGUUGUCCCACUGGAUAUUGGAACAGCCAUUCUAUUACAACAUAACUACAGAUAAAUCAGAUGAGACGAAAAAAGUACUUGGAAAAUCGGCUGCAAGUGCGGGUCUUCAACUUCCUGAGGUUUAUCAGCCUUGAAAUUUAGUUGGGUAUAAUUUGCUACAUUCUAUUAUGGCAUAGAAAAUAUGCCUCCAGCGAACCAUGUAGCCUGUGGAAUUUUUUAGUUAUAUUCGUAAAUAACUAAGUGCUAUAUGCUUGUUACCAACAAUGGGAUCGAAAUUUGUUUGACUUGCUGCUAUCUAUUUUAACAAAAAUAAGUUUUGCUACAUCAGCUGAAUUUGAUCAUUUGUAAGGGUAUUGACUUGUAUACCAGUGGUCUCACAUAUACUUUAGUAGUGUGUGAUCACAAAACCCCCUUCCCUUAAUAUCACUUGUAUUAAAAAAUAUAUAUAUAUAUUACGACAAAAACAAAUCAUAAUAAUCAAAUUAUUUUAUUGCCCAUUUAAAUGUCAGAUAAUAAAUAAUAAAUGAAAAGGCAGGUUUUAAUACGCCCCAUUAUUUUUUUUUAAAACGCAUGUCUAGAAAAUGGACUUUCAAAAACAAAAAAAUUGUAAGUCGAGUGGAAAAAAGGCCUCUCAUAGCACAUGCUUCUUUUCUUUUCUUUUUUUAAUUUAUAAAUAUAAGCGAACUACAAGGGGUGGGGUUCUCACACACACACUAUCAAGGUGCUAUGUGAAUUCGAACUUAAGACCAUUAGUCUGCAAAUUAAGACCUUUUUUUCAUUGGGUUAAAUUAUGUUAGUGCACAGGGGCUAAUUUAAAAUUAAUUAAGAAAAUUUAAUAUAAAGAGAAAACAAACUGCAGGAAACUUUGAGAUUCCUUAUUUUUUAGUGUACCACACAAGAUCACCAGUCCCCUUUUUUCCGUUGUUUUUAUGGGUUCGCAUGUUUUCUAAGUCCUUGUUUAAUCUUUGGGCGUGAUACUCCUCAGUAUAUAAUUCCCAUUCUAAUGAGAGAUUCCUAUUAUUUAAAGACUUAUGCAAUUAAUUUUAUUUCAUAAACAUCUUUUACGGUUUAUUACGAUUUUUUUCAACAAUUCAAAACUAUCUAUUUUUCAAAUCUUUAUUCAUAAAUCAUCCUUACAUAAAAUUAGACAAAUUGAAAAUCAUUUAGACAUCUAGUCAUAUCUAAUAAGAUUUCAAAUUUGUUCAAAGAGGUGUAAUUGAUGAUCAGAGUCUGAUAAUAAUUCCAAUUUCAAAGAAUAAUCAAUUCAUGAAGUCUAAUGUCUAUUUGAUUCUCCAAACAGUACCCAUUUUCGACACAGCAUAUAAUGAUGGAUCCAUAUGAGCGGGAUUUGUAUACAUUAUUGCCCUACUCAAAAAAAAUGUAACUUUCCAAGAUGUGAAUCUGAAGGUACAGCUAGAAAUUAGCAAGUGAAUAGUAAAUGCAAUUCCAACGAUGGGAAACAGAGCAUUGUAUUCACAUAAAAAACCAUUUGGGUACAAUAGUAAGCGACAAACACCAGAAAUAAGAAAAUCCAAAUAAUUCGAACUCAAAUUAUAGGGGCACCCACAGAGGUGCGCCCCUCCAAAAAUAGGCGUAUGCCAUUUAAAGCGACGCGCACACGGUAUUCUUUAGUAAAAGGCGAAAGAAUAGUUCGCUUUGUGCUCGACGCAUGGCUCCGUAAGUUUUCAAGCAAACAGCUACUUUAUUUUAUAACCCCGACUCUAGCUAGUUCGUACUCCUUCAGCCGAUGUGGGACAAAAGUGCCUACACCUCAACCCUUCUCAAAACGGCCAACUUAGAAAAACUUAGCUUAGCAUAUUCAGAGGAGAUUGCCCUUCUCUAUCACACUUAAUACAAAAGUGCCUAGUUCUAAAGCAAUUCCAACGACCCCAAACUCUGAUUUUGCUAGUUCCUUUGUCAAUUUCAUACCUCACAUGAAAUCAGCCUUUGACUGGUUUUGAACCCAAGUGGAAACUGGUGGACGAGAAUUGAGUAUGAGAUACUCAGUCUCUGUAUAAUUUCCAUGAUGUUCUAUAGAGAAAAAAAAAAAAAAAAAGUAAAUUCUGCAAUUGAUUUUACACAUUCUAUAAAAUUUUAUGCUUCCUGGUUGAGGCUUCAUUUCAAAAUGUGAAUUUGACAACCACAGAUUGACAAAUAGAGCAGUGUGUUCAGUUUAAUGCUUAAAAAGUAAAUUAUUUUCCAGGGAUAUAUGUAUCUGGCUAAAGGUCUAAUUUGACCACUAUUGUCUAUGAAGUUGGCUCAACUGUUCUGCCUGCUAUUAUGCUAACUUUGGUGGUAAGGACAGCAUUGGCUAACUUUCGACCGAGCCAACAAAUGGGGAGAAGACUACAGGUAUAAUUUAUUGUGUAUCAGACAUGGCAGUCGUACAAUCAAAUAUUGGUGAAGAAAGUUCUUCAUCACCUCCCUCCUUAAAUUUCUUCUUUUGGUAAUGUAAUUUGUUUCCUAGAAAUAUCAGCCAAUUGUCAUUUCAAAAUAAAAGAGUUCGUUUGAGAGUGAUUUUGAACAGGCCAAAUAAUCACUUCUCUCAUUUUAUGGAGAAGCACAUUAGAGAUGCUUCUUCACAAAAUCACUUAAAAUUACUUAAAUUGAUUAUAUGAAAAAGCACAUAUGAGGUACUUCUUUUCAGAAUAAUUGAGCUAUCUAGAAUUACUCCCAAACAAGCCAUAUUGAAUGUGAACUUAACAAGCCACCCACGAAAAGAGACAUUUCAAAGAUGGUAAAUGUCAUUUAACCUCAGAAGUCACCUUUUACUAGGCAUUCUUUUGGCAUAUGUGAAAGGAUAAACUUCCAGCGCCGCCUAAUGCAUACUUUUCAGCCUUACUUUGUACAGUGUAGUAGUUCAUAUUUAUUUGGCAAGUUGAAAAACACCAAGAUCUAACUGUACGUACGAAUAUAUAUAUAUAUCAUUGGAUGCCGUCAUAAGAUUAAACAUGCAGGUCAGAGAACAGCUUUACCAUUUGAUUUCAAGAGUUGGUAAAUAUUUUCAGCAUAUGUCAGUAUAAUAAUGAGAUGAAUCUUCUGCUUUGUAUCUAUGUUGGAGAUCGAAAUAUAUAUAUAGUUGAUCAAACAAAACACUAGUCUUUAUUGAAGAAUAUAAGUCUCAUGUUAGGGAUAUGUUGAAUACACUUUCUUAAAUAAAAUAUAAGAUAUAAUGAAUGGUUUCAUUAUUAAUAUUAUCGAAGUUUUUUGUGAUAAAACAUCAUACAUAUCGAAUUUUAUAGGUGGUUAAGUUGGAGACAAUAUUGGUAUUGCUAGUAGAGGGCCGCUAGCCUAUCUCUCUAAAUUUAACAUGAUAUCAGAGCGAGUUGAAUGACUGGGCCUGAAAUAUUGGGUAUUUACCCUUACUCUUUAUCCAAUAUGUGGUGGUCACAUAUUGGACUUGAAUGUUUAUCAUUGUCCCUUAUCCAAUACGUGGUGAUCACGUGUUGGGUUUGAAUGUUUGACUCCGAUGUGGACUUGGCCCACUAUGUGAUGGUCCCACGUGAGGGGGCAUGUUGAAUGCACUUCACAAAUAAAAUACAAGAUAUAAUGAAUAAUUCAACUACUAAUAUAACCAAGGCCUUUUGUGAUAAAAUUUCACACCUAUUGAACUUUGUAAGUGAUUAAAAGUUAAAGACAAUAUGAUGUUACUAAUAGUGGACCGCUCUGUAAAAUUUAACACACUUUACUUGAGUAACUUCAAACAAUCAUAAACUUAAUUAAGGCUCCGUUUGGGGGUUGUGGUGUUUAAACUUGAGGCAAGUCUUAUCCCCACUUUACUCUUCUUCUUCUUCUUCGUUGAGAGCUGAAAUCCUCGGCUCACCAUCUUUGUCAUCUCUAGAUCUCACUCUUUGAUUAACGUUUUCGAUUCUUCCAAAAAAAAAAAAAGGAAAACAAUGAUGGCAGUGGUCUAACAAAAUUAUGGCUGCAUGCAUAAAUCUAACUGCCGUUUCAUAUGUUGCAAUGUUCAUCAAAUAAUUUGAUGAGAUAAAAAAAAUAUAUAAUCAAAUAAAUUCAUGAGAUAAAAUAUUAAUAAAAACAUAAGUAUAUGUAGUGAUAUUGAUUUUGUCUUUUUAGUAAAUAAAUAACACUUUUAACAUUAUGAGAGUUUAUCGACACUUUUAACACUCACAAUACUUUUAUAAAUAGAGUUUACCAAAUACUACCCACUUUUACAAAUAGAGUUUACCAAAAGCUUAACUGCUUUAUUCGACAACUAAUUAUUUUCGCAACACAAUAGUUUUUUUUUAAGCACAACAAUACCAAACUAGCCCUAAAUCCAUAGGCAAUACGGCAUACAACAUGGAUACUUAAACAAAACAGCUAAAGCUAAGCAAAUAUUUGGGAAAAAUCAAGCCUAAGAAAGCUUAGAUAUUCAUCAUUGAGCCAACCAUACUUCUCCAUGAAUGGAUUGACUAGGGUUUCAGGAGGGUAACUGUCUAUGCAAUCUUUCCAAACAUUAGCAUCCUCCAAGUCCUUGAGUACUUCCCACACAAUAUUGUUGCACUUAAAACCUGCUCCAAAUCCACUCAUCAGAAUUCUGUUGCCCUUCUUAAGCCUCUGCUUGGCCUCCAUGUAUCCCAAAGCAUACCAAAAGCCAGCUGCUGAUGUGUUACCAAACCUGUAAAGUGCCAUUCUAGAUGGCUCUACAUCAUAAUCACUUAGACCCAAGCUCUUACCAAUCCCAUCUAUGAUUGCUCUUCCACCAGGGUGAAUGCAAAAGUGCUCGAUCCCAGUCUUAAGAUUCAGUUUCACACCAUCUGCUUCUAGGUUUUGGCUCUUAUUACUUAAUUUAUGAAGCAGAGAUGCCAACAGAUACCUGAGAAUUUCUCUUAGUGGAAGCAUUUUAGGGACUAGAAUUUGGAGGUUCAUUGUAAAAGCCAGAGCAGCUGCUUUUGUGAGGUAUUUGGUAAGGCGAAAACCUUGAUAUCCACUCUCAUCUUCUGCCUGUAUGCAGCAAUCAUACGCUUCAUUACUUGAGCCAAUGUGGGUUCGUACCAGAUGCUUUAACUUCAACAUGGCUUGGUGCUUUAGGUCUCUGUUGUUUGUGAACAGCAUCGAACACCCUCCCGAGCGGAACAGACAGUUGGUGAGCAUCAUGGACUUUUCUUUGCCGCAGUACCAGUUAGGAGCCAGGGAUUCUGUGCUUACAACAAUUGCAUUUGCGUUUUUGUAUGACUUGAACAAGUUUUGUACAACAUCAAUAGCAAUGAGACUUGCACUGCAUCCCAUUCCUGAGAGGUUGAAGUUCUUGAUGUCCUCCCUCAUCUUGUAACGAUUUAUUAUACGAGAUGUUAGAGAGGGUGCAGGGGAGAACAUUGACACAUUGACAACCAGAAUGUCGAUUUGUGAAGGAGAAAUUGAAGUAGACCUAGCAAAAAGCUUGUCAAG
rnacentral:lncRNA from 1 species